AUGAAGGUCUAUGCAACUACAGAAGAUACCAGAGCCCAGUCCAUCACCCAGCCUGACAGCCAUGUCACUCUCUCUGAAGAAGCCUCACUGGAGCUGAGAUGCAACUAUUCCUAUAGUGUCACACCAUCUCUCUUCUGGUAUGUCCAGUACCCUGGCCAAGGCCUCCAGCUUCUCCUCAAGCACAUCUCAGGAGACGCUCUUGUUAAAGGCAUCAAGGGCUUUGAGGCUGAAUUUAAGAAGAGUGACUCUUCCUUCAACCUGAGGAAACCGUCUGUGCACUGGAGUGACACGGCUGAGUACUUCUGUGCUCUGAGUGACACAGUGCUUGGGGCUGCAGGGGGAGCUGCACACAAACCUUGUGAGAUGCUAAGAAGGAUAACUGCACUUGAAAGAUUUUGGACUCCGACAUAG